GGGGCCGACCUGGUUUCGACGUGGGUGCGGAAUCAGAGCGGUGCAUGCCGAGCACCAGUACGCUCGUAAAUCCACUGGAUCAAAGUAACUGCGAACGACGAACGUUUCGCCCUCGCCGCUUAACACCGGUGAGCCUCUCAACGGUUGGCCGAUAGGCCGGGCCCGCAAGGGCUGAGAGGUCAUACAUAUCGGCUGGUGGUGCGCCGGGUCACUCGGUGCAUCACGAGAUCAAGUGACUGGCGUCGUUGGUAGCGUGCUCCUGCGCGACCGCGGCGUGAGACUCAAAUCAGUGAGCUAAGCAUGUAGAUCUGCCUGAGGAUGGCUUGCGGACGCGGGUUCAAUUCCCGCCGGCUCCACCA
rnacentral:tmRNA from 1 species